rnacentral:rRNA from 1 species
AUUGAACGCUGGCGGCAUGCCUUACACAUGCAAGUCGAACGGUAACGGGCCUUCGGGUGCCGACGAGUGGCGAACGGGCGAGUAAUACAUCGGAACGUGCCCGAUCGUGGGGGAUAACGAGGCGAAAGCUUUGCUAAUACCGCAUACGAUCUACGGAUGAAAGCAGGGGACCGCAAGGGCUUGCGCGGACGGAGCGGCCGGUGGCGGAUUCGGUAGUUGGUGGGAUAAAAGCUUACCAAGCCGACGAUCUGUAGCUGGUCUGAGAGGAUGAGCAGCCACACUGGGACUGAGACACGGCCCAGACUCCUACGGGAGGCAGCAGUGGGGAAUUUUGGGCAAUGGGCGCAAGCCUGAUCCAGCCAUGCCGCGUGCAGGAUGAAGGCCUUCGGGUUGUAAACUGCUUUUGUACGGAACGAAAAGCCUUCUUUUAAUACAGGAGGGUCAUGACGGUACCGGAAGAAUAAGCACCGGCUAACUACGUG